GUGGGUUUUUUUUUAAGAUUCCACAUAUAAGUGAUAUCGUAUGGUAUUUUUCUUCCAGUUUUUUCUGAAUGGCUGGAGGUGAGAGAGUUUCUGGAAAGAGCCAAGUCUAGAAGCUUUUGGCACAAGAGACCAUCGCUGUUUGUACAACAGAUACUGAGGUCUCUCCACGCUAAGCCGGCUGUGUGACAACACACAGACACGGCCUUUGUCCUCAGGGGCUCGCAGGGAGGAAGACAUCUGGAAAGAGAGUGGGAAAGCCUUCCAGCAGCUCGAGCUGCGGGCGCGUGGGACAUGGUGUCUUUGUUCCUUCCAUUGAUCUGAGGUCCAGGGCCUCAGCCGCUUUGUCCCCAGGUGGAAAGCUAUCUUCUAGACGAUAACAAUUACCUGCCUGUGAAAUAAAACAUCCACCUGCCUGAAAACAUAAUAUGUCUUUAUUUCCUAAAUUCCACACAUGCAGGACGGUUCACUGAGCCUCACUUUCUGACCCAGUUAGUGGAGCAAACAGUGUGCGGUCUUUGUCUGCUAGUGUCCUUCUGCCCCUAAUCCCUCCCACCCCAGCUGCCGAGGAUGCCAGGCCGGGCAGGAGUCGUUCAUUCAUCUCGUACCUCAGAGCCACCUAAUCACAAGCAUGGCACUACGUCUUGUCUGUCAGGGGUAGCUGUGCCCAUGGAAGCAGAGACUGUCCUGGGAGGGGACGGGGACAACCAGGGCAGAAAACUGGGUCAGGACACAGGCCAGGGGACUUUCGACCCACGCAGGAGGCAGGGCAGGGCUGACGGACACAAGGGCGCAGUGAUCGUUACCUGAAUUUCAGCACUUAGCAGCCUCCACGAGGCACCUGGCCAACACUAAGCUCUUCACCUCGCUCAGAAUUUAUCUCCCGUGUGUGUUUGCUCGGCAUGGUUGUUACACACACUGCUGGUUCCAUCUUUCUGUGUUUAUCUCACAGAUUUCACGAUUCUGAAGGAUGCUGUUUUCACGACUGUGUUGCUUUAAUCAGGCAGAGCUGGGGAAACCACAAUGACUCGGGGUUGAAAUCAGGGAGGGAGCGCAGCAUCCGCGACCUUGACGCCCGUCAGCUGCGGGACCCGCCCCCUGGACGUGGCAGGAGGGGCCGUCCCCUCCAUCUUCUCCCACACAGCUGUCGGCCGGGACGUGCUGCCCAAGAGCCCCCCCACUUAGCUCCUCUCGUCUGGCUUUUCCCACAUCAGAUUCGCCUCCCGUGUUUCUUGCUUUUAUCCGGCUUUCUCGGUUGCCUAGGAAAUCAAACAGGGCCGUUCCCAGGCUGCGUGAGGGCUGGGGGCUGCGUGUCCUCUGCGAGCUCCCAGGUGGCGGGAGGGGGGCUGCCUCUUUAUCUGACAAGAAUUCCUGCUGCAGCCGGGCAGCCUCGUUCAGAUUUUUUCCCAGGCUGCAUCACAAAAGACGGCUGGCGAGAACAAAAGUGAGAUGCUAGCCGGGCUGUACCCCUUUGUUGGGGAGCGGCCUGGCUGAACCUCAGGCGGACGCAUGCGUAAUUCGGAGCAGCUGAUCAAGUGCAUUGUGCCUCCUUCAGAGAAAGGGUGGUCCUGGUAGGAGGGGUGGAGGGAGGCAGAGGCUAGUCUCAUUAGGAACACCCAGUUGCUUUCAAUACUUGCACGAUGCAGAGCUAAAAUCUUCUCAGGCUGUGGAGAGAGGGAGAAAGUAAGAACUUAACCUCCCAGAGCAGCAAUGGAAAUGGAAGUGGAAUGUUUUUAGUUCAUGGCUCUUCCCCUCUUGAAACGGUCCUCGGUGCGUGUGAGUCAGACCGCAGUUCCCCGGGGCCUGACGCCCGCGGGGGAUGAGGCUGCCUUCCUUGCCAUCAGCACUUCUUCCCGGGUGGUGCCAGGUCACGUCACCCCGUGGGAUGCGCAGGGCCGCCUUGUCCCUGUUUCCUUUCAGUUUCCCCGUCAGCUCGCCCCGCGUCACCGACUGCAGGAAGGCAGAGCUCUGGUUGGUUUAUGGCUGGUUUUCUGUUGAUCAUCUCCAACCUCUGCCGUUCGAAGAACCAGGCGUGGUCGUGUGAAGGGCAGCAGGAGAAAGGAGACGAAAACGCCCCUGCUCUGCAAUUCUGGUGUAAUGAUGUCACGUGAAGGCAAGGCUUUUUUUUUUAAUUUCACUUCCCAGUGUUUGCACUGCUGGCACGUGGAGAUGUAAUGGACUUUGCACAUCACCUUGUCUCCUACAAUCCUGCUCACCUGCUCGAUGGCCCUGGAAGCGUCUUUGCUGGUUCCCUAGAAUUUCCUACAUACUUAGUCAUGCCAUUUGCAAAUAAAGGCAGAUUUUAUGCCAAAA